CUUAUUCUUUUUACUUUGUAUUUGUAUUUUGUCCAUUUUGUUUACAACUAAGAUUCAUCAGUGUCAAUUAGAUUAAGUUGUGUUUUACUCUUUUUAGAAACUAGCACCUGGUUACUAAUUAACAUACACAUAUAAUAAGACAAAUUUUAACAUUGCAAAUUAAAAAUUGGGUCAAAUAACCUUGCUAAUGAAUUAGUUUGUUCAUGAAAAUCGGUCGCAUAUUCCAGAACCCUAGAAAUUCAGCAUUGUUUGUUUUGGUUCUAAAUGUUCCUGGUGAAUUGUCUGGUACCCUCAAACUAUAAAAUAGAAUACCAUUCCUUCAUUCAUUGUCUUGAUUAGGCCUAAUUCACGCUUCAACCCACAUUAACACUUGAUUGAGAAUUCAAAUUCAACCUCGGGCGUUGCUCCCUGCGCAGUACCGAACGUGCUUUGCGAAGCCUCUUUCCAACUAAGAUUCAAACACAGCCCCCAGCUUCCGAAUCGCACAAAGAGCACGCACACGAACCCCGAAUGCUGAAGGAAUUCGAGGGUUGCUCGAUUCCGACGUCGACACAACUUCGUCGAUUGCUUGAUUGCUUUGCACAACCGAACUGACCGAACCUUGCGAUUAAAGCUAAUCGCAGAGUUUUGUGGGGGGUGGUCCAGCUGGGGCUGCUGCUGCUGCUGCGAGAUUAGUCACAGAGCGAAACUGUUGCAGAGGGUGGAUUCUAAUUGCUCCCCUCAAUUCCUCCCUGGGGUAGUUCCCUAGCUCCUGUAGCAAUCCUCUCGCUCGCCGCAGAUCUACGUAGUUUCGAACCGAUUGCAAGCCCAUGCAUUUUACUAGGGUUGAGAGAUAGAAUAUGUGUUACAAAUUCCCAGAGCGCGCGCAGACCCCUACGUUGCUGGCCUCCUACAUCUGCGAAGCGCACCAUAAUCGAACCUAGAAUCCUAGACCUAAUCACUCUACUCCUUUCCAAGCUCUCCUCGGACUUCAACAUCAUGAUCACUGAUUCAGAGUUCAAAGCUUCUACCAACUGGGGCUCUUAUCUUCAGGGGACCACCUCCAGCGCUCUCUCUGCACGGGAUCUCGAUUUCACAUGCGC
rnacentral:lncRNA from 1 species